GAUGAACGCUAGCGGCAGGCCUAACACAUGCAAGUCGAGCGGUAGGGGACUUCGGUUCCUGAGAGCGGCGCACGGGUGCGUAACGCGUAUGCAACCUACCCUUUACAGGGGAAUAGCCCGUCGAAAGGCGGAUUAAUGCCCCAUGGUUCCUUUGAGAGGCAUCUCUUGGAGGGUAAAGAUUUAUCGGUAAAGGAUGGGCAUGCGUGCCAUUAGCUAGAUGGUGGGGUAACGGCCCACCAUGGCGACGAUGGCUAGGGGUUCUGAGAGGAAGGCCCCCCACACUGGGACUGAGACACGGCCCAGACUCCUACGGGAGGCAGCAGUGAGGAAUAUUGGUCAAUGGGCGCAAGCCUGAACCAGCCAUGCCGCGUGCGGGAAGAAGGCGCUACGCGUCGUAAACCGCUUUUGUCCGGGGGUAACCGCAGGGACGUGUCCCUGCCUGCAAGUACCGGACGAAUAAGGGUCGGCUAACUCCGUGCCAGCAGCCGCGGUAAUACGGA
rnacentral:rRNA from 1 species